rnacentral:lncRNA from 1 species
GAAAACAUUCACCACACCAAGCUGCAUCAAGGUGAAGACUGGCAUGGCUCUGAUUCAGUUAAACACUGGACUUAUGUCAUAGGUAAAUAAAUAUGUUUCUAAUUCAAUUAACAUGCCAACCAAACUAUAUAUCUUAUUUGUAGAUAGAAUAUAUUGUUUUAGGGGAAGAAAUAUUAAUAGCGGAGAUUAAAUUAAAUCAUUUUUCGAUGUCUCAUCUCAACCCAACCAAAUAAUCUUGUUUCAUUUUAUUUUUCCUAAAAAUCUUCAAAUUACAUUUCUCAUAAAAAUAAUGUAAUAAUAUUAAAAAUAUAACUUUUUUAGAAUACAAUUAAAGACAAAAGUUUUGUCAACCAAUCAUGGCACAAGAUUAAAAAAAAAAAUAGUGAUGGAAGUCUUUGAUCCCUACGCCAGCAUAUCUAACAACUUUGGGCAAUUUAUCGUUUAAAAAUUAUAAUAUAUAAUAAUAAUAAUAAUAAUAAUAAUAAUAAUAAUAAUAAUAAUAAUAAUAACUCAACUUUACUUUAUUUGCUUUAGAUCUUUUUGCAAAAUUACAAGGAUGAAUAUACAAUUUAAAAGAUGCAGUAGAUUGUAGAGUAUGAAAAUAGAGAUAUGAUUAGACAUGUUGGAUAAGCGUUUCUAAUAUCAAACGUCAGUUAUACGCAAAGGACACAUAAAAAUCAAGUGGUAGUAUGAUUGAAAAAGACAGUGAAAUGACACAUAAAACAAGAGAAACACAAGAAGAACCGUCUAUUAGAAGAAGAAAAAAAAAGUGAAUAAAGGAGAAGAAAAAAAUUUCAAACCCUAAAUUAAGUUAGUAUAGUAGAAUAAGAUAAAAUAAUGAUGAAAAAAAUUAAUAAUCUUAAUGUAUUUUAGAACGGGACGGAUAACCCGGAGAGUGGCUCAAACCUGGUCCAUCUUUACUCUUAACCUUAUCCUGUGUUUUUCUUUUUCUUUUUUGUUCUUGUUUUUUUUAGACCGAGUGAAAUCUGGUCCAUCUUUUAUCGCUAAAUGUGAAAUUCCUACCCCACCAUUGCCUAUUUAAACAUCACUCAAACAAAAACAAAAAAACAAAGCAAUUUGGGUGAAUAUUGAGAAUUUAAUUAGUAUUUGUUAUGUAAAAAAUGUUUGAAAUUAAUGCAAUUAAUCUAGUUUGUAAAUAUUUCUAACUUAAAAUAUAACUUUCGUUCUUUAUCUUUUAUUUAGUAUUUAUUUUGAUUAUUUUUCUUUUCUUAAUUCGUCUUAUUUAUUAUUUUUUUUGUUAAAUAAGGACUAAAACAAAUAUUAUAUAAAAAAUAAAAGACAAAAAUAAAUAAAGGAACAAACCAAAUAAGAAAAAAAAGGAUAAAAGACCAAUUAAAAUAAAUAUGAAAUAAAAGAUAAAGAUCAAUAAAAUUAUAUUUUAACCAUUUUUAAAUAUAUUUAUUAAUUAAAGGAAUAUUAUUAAUCAUUUUGCAACUUUUUUUUGGAGAAUUAAAUUUCAUGAAGUUUCAAUAAGUAUUCCUUUAAAAAGUAUAUUUAUUAAGUAUAUACUAAACCAUAUUUUAAUAAGUAUAUUUUAAUAAAUAUAAAUAAACCACUUUAAUUUAAUCAAAGGUUCACAUUGAUUCUCUUAAAGUUUGUAGGUGAUCAUUAAUCUGUGUUUAAUCUUUCACGUGGCCAUAUCUAUCAGCUGACUCUUGCGCCAACACCACAACGUCGGUGGUUUUGUUUUUUUUUUUGUUGUUGAGGAAACGCGGGUGAUAAUUGCCUUCUUUGGUUUUCUAGCUUUUGCCGUUGAGUUACAGUGAUUUGAUGAACAAUUAAACAUGCAAAAAUUGAAACUCCCAAACUUGCAAACUACAAUAUUGGAGGUUCACUUUUGUUUAAAACCAAAAUUACAAUGAUCAAAUUUGUCGACUUUUUAAAUUUGAAAUUAACUUCGUAAAUCAAUAAAAAUAAGGAGAUUAAAAUUACAAUUAAACAAAAAAAAUUAUAUAUAAAAGUAGGAGUUGUUUAAUACGGUGGGCUUCACUCUUUUUUAUUAAAAAUUUAUAUUUGAUAUCCAUUUUUUUUUAUUAUAAAAUUUAUUUUUAACAAAAAAAAAAAUAGUAAAAGUUCAUCAUUAGACCGUUUUUAGAGUUUCACAAUAGACACAACCAUGAAGUAAAAAACCAGAAAUAUUUGAAAAAUAGAAACAAUAUAACUAUCUAUUUUGUAUUACAAACGGAUCCUUAUUUGUUUUUCUUCUAUAAUUCAAACUUUUAUUAAUUGUAAUUAUAUACAACAUUUUUAUCUUCUUGGUAUUAAUUGUACGUGACAUUACAAUAGAUGGCAAGGUACACACAUGUAAGGAGAGUAUUGAAGAAGUUGAUGAACAAAACAAGAAAAUCACUUACAAGCUAUUUGGUGGAGAUAUUGAUGAGCACUAUAAGAUCUUUAAAUUUAUCCUCGAAAUAUUUGAUAAGAACGAUGGAAGUGCAGUAGUUAAGUGGAGUG